CUGCGAAUGGCUCAUUAAAUCAGUUAUCGUCUAUUUGAUAGUACCUUACUACUUGGAUAACCGUGGUAAUUCUAGAGCUAAUACAUGCUGCAAAGCCCGACUUCGGAAGGGUUGUAUUUAUUAGAUUAAAAACCAAUGCCCUCCGGGGCUCACUGGUGAUUCAUGAUAACUUCUCGAAUCGCACGGCCUUGCGCCGGCGAUGGUUCAUUCAAAUUUCUGCCCUAUCAACUUUCGACGGCUGGGUCUUGGCCAGCCGUGGUGACAACGGGUAACGGAGGGUUAGGGCUCGACCCCGGAGAAGGAGCCUGAGAAACGGCUACUACAUCCAAGGAAGGCAGCAGGCGCGCAAAUUACCCAAUCCCGACACGGGGAGGUAGUGACAAUAAAUACUGAUACAGGGCUCUUUUGGGUCUUGUAAUUGGAAUGAGUACAAUUUAAUUCCCUUAACGAGGAACAAUUGGAGGGCAAGUCUGGUGCCAGCAGCCGCGGUAAUUCCAGCUCCAAUAGCGUAUAUUAAAGUUGUUGCAGUUAAAAAGCUCGUAGUUGAACCUUGGGCCUGGCUGGCCGGUCCGCCUCACCGCGUGCACUGGUCCGGCCGGGCCUUUCCCUCUGGGGAGCCGCAUGCCCUUCACUGGGCGUGCCGGGGAACCAGGACGUUUACUUUGAAAAAAUUAGAGUGUUCAAAGCAGGCUUAUGCUCGGAUACAUUAGCAUGGAAUAAUAGAAUAGGACGCGUGGUUCUAUUUUGUUGGUUUCUAGGACCGCCGUAAUGAUUAAUAGGGACAGUCGGGGGCAUCAGUAUUCAGCUGUCAGAGGUGAAAUUCUUGGAUUUGCUGAAGACUAACUACUGCGAAAGCAUUUGCCAAGGAUGUUUUCAUUAAUCAGGAACGAAAGUUAGGGGAUCGAAGACGAUCAGAUACCGUCGUAGUCUUAACCAUAAACUAUGCCGACUAGGGAUCGGACGGUGUUAUUCUUUGACCCGUUCGGCACCUUACACG
rnacentral:rRNA from 1 species